UAUCUUUCUCAGAGCCAUCUAUAUUUCCCUUUUUAAAACAUAUUUUAUAUUCUGUUUUCAUCUCUUCAGUGCCACAUAAAUGUAUUUUGCUCUUUUCUGUUCCUUUAUGUACACACUUGUACAUACAUGUGUGCACAUGCUACAUACAUAAACAGUGGAGAUAUUCUUAGCCAUUUUUAUUAGGUAUGUGUGUGUUUCUACACACACACACACACACACACACACACACACUACUCCAUGGUACUGAAGGCAGUUAAAUAAAUGACUUCAGUAAUCCCUGCAACAAUCCGUUAAAGUAGGUCACAAUUAUCCCUGUACAGCACUGGGGCUGAGGCUGUGAGAUAAUGGCUUGCUUAAGGCCAUGCAGUGCCUGAGACAAGUUUUGGACCAGGGAUGCUUUGAGCCACAACUUAAUAAGGAACUUAACAAGAAAGAUCCUUAGACCAACAUCUUCCAGCUUCUUGCUCCAUUGAUCUCUCUGACUUCAGUGGGACUACUUUGGAGCAAGCAAUUUGACGAUUAUAGUCAACUGGCUUGGGGGCUUUGCAUCCCAGUUCUGCCUCUUUCUAGCUAAACAGGGAUUUCAGAAACAGUUUUGAAACUGCUCUGGGCAUUGAGGAGGCAAACGACAAAUUAUUGGCACUAUCCUUUAAGCAUCCGCAGUAGACUUUUCAAAGCGUAUUUCUAUUGUCGGUUGUUCUCUUCCACUUGAAACGCUGCAGAAACCUUCAAAAGAGGUUUGAUUUGCCAUGGUGUUGGUGCCAUGGCCAAUGGCUGCACUGCAAUUGGUUUAGCUGUGCUUAUGAAGCUUUUGUCCUACCCUUCUUCCAAGAUGCUCAGGGCAGUGGAUAUGAUCCUCCCCAAUUAUUACCAGUAAUCCUCAAAGUAACCUACUGGGGUAAGUUGAGCUGAAAUAUAAUGGCUGGCUGAAGGUUAUUCACUGAGCUUCAUGACUGAGUAGCAAUUUGAACCCUGCUGUAAUGCCUCCAGGCCUGUAGUAUUGGGUGAUAUCAAGAGUUGUUGGUCCACUCGCACAAUGAACUUCUGCUUGUGCACUGGAGCUUCCUCUCCCCACUACAACCCCUAUACACACACACACACACACACCCUCCCCCUUUGUAUGUAGGUGUAAAGCUUUCUAACUUGCAGUGUCUUAAUGUGUAUAAAUAAAAUCAUCAGACAAUGUGUGAGCUAAACAUGUCAGUGAAACAUUAUGUUGUUUUGAGGUUUUCUAAUGCAUUUUUUUGUGGCAAGGGGCCAAUAUAUAUGCAAUGCAAAGUAGCAAUGGUACAGAAUAACAUAAUCAAAAUGAAAUCUGUUCCAUGAAAUUAGGUACUCUUCAGGCUUGCAGAGAAAAGAACAUUUGCACAAAUGGUUAGUUAAUAAAACUCUGGCAUUAGCUUCAGAAGCUGAAUUACCUUGCUGUCCCUAUUGUUGGAUGUGCUGCUGGUGACAAAAGACUUAAAAAUGGGCCUCUUUUCUGUAUUAAAGAUUUGGUGGGGGGAAAUUUUCUUGGACACUAGUGCAGUAGUUUAGAAGAAUUAUAAAUAUGAAGUUAGCACUACAGAAAGCUCUUAGGCAAAGGCAAGACUUCUUCUAUUAGGGUCAGUGUUACCUUUCAAGUUUAUCCUUGCUAAUGCCUUCAGGCAAACUUCAUUAUUGGUUCUAUCAGAUUUGAUCUAAAGAAAAGAAAGUUACUGAGCAAUGAACUCAAGUAACCUUGUUAUUUUACAGUAGGACUGGAUACUCUCUUAGUAUUGGCUUAUUUGUAACAUUGCAGAGCAUCAGUUUACAAUCUCUUGCCCAAAGUAAGGAAUGAGCUUAGAAGGGGAGAGAAAAUUGUGGUGUUAGGAAAGUGAGAAUCCUUGGUGAUUAACUUGCUUCAUAUCCAUUGGAGAACAGGAAAUUUCCAGUUGGAGCUAGUUGCAGGCAGAAUUACAUACCAUAUGCAGUCAGUUAUGGAAUUAUGUGUAUAAAUAAAAUUAUAUAAAGUGCUUUGACAAAGUGCUUUGACUAUUUGUAGAAUUACUUGCCAUGAAUAUAUCUAAUUCUCAGUCUAAACUAGUGUCCAUCACCACAUUGUAUGCAUUAUUCAUUGUGUAAAUAAUAAUUCCUUGAAGGCACUGCCAAUAAAUUUCAUAGGUGGCCCUCAGUUCCAUUAUUAAUAAGAACCAAGAUUCUGGUGUUUAAAUAGGUGUUAUUUUGGUCUGAAAUAACAAGCAAAAUAACAAGCAGCCUCAUGCUUUGCAUAUAUACUUGAAACAAUAUUGAAAUGAUUAUUUAGCUGUUGUAUGAAGUGUUGGUAAUGGAAAAGGACUUUUUGGAAAUCGUUUUGGCAUUGCACAUAGCUACUUCUCUCCUUUCUUUGUGGUGGGAACAAAAGAUCCACAAAGUCUUCCAUUAAUUACCAUUUUUUGUCUGAAUCAGGUUACUAUGGUAACAGCUUUGGAACAAGCCAGGUUAUUAGGGCAGCUUCAAACCAUGGUUUAAUAUCCUGCUUUAUUUCAAAGCUUUUAACCUUAGUUUUCUGGUUCAAGCAAAAUGGAAAACAGUGGGUAAUGGAGGAACUUCAUGGUUUGUUUACUUGUGCAUAUGAAGAGAGGGACAAAAAAGUUGUGUGUAUGGCCAAAAAGGUUUGUUGUCAGUGUGUCAAGAGCAUACUAUCCUCUCACUCGACCUGAAAACACUUAAAAGGAAAUGCUAGUGACCUGUAUGUCCAAGAACAGGCACUCUACUACGCAUCUAAUGGUGAUUCAGAACUAGCAUUUUCUUCAUACUAAACUUCUAGGCACCAGAGUGUCGAGUAUGCAACAACUUCCUAUCUAGCUACCACCUAAACUGGAGGUAUAACAUUUUGUGUGUGUUAUACUAAGAAAGAAAUGCACAGUUUACACAAAUGUAACAAUAUUAGCACAUUCUUGUUCCAUUGUGUGUGAAAUGAAAUUCAGAAAGGAGAAAGCUACUUACCCAUCCACCCCCUUGACACGUGUGUGAUUAUUUUGUAACCUGAAACAUAUAGUGCACUUAAGUGUGAGACCCCAACAGCAUUUCAUUGCUGAAGAUGAAACUUGGCUGAACUUAAAUUUAUAUUUUGCAUUUAAUUUUGUGGUGGGUGGGUGUGCGUGCGUGCGUGCAGCAAAUUUCAUUCCUCUUUCCAAGGUGCAAAUACCAGAAUGAAAUUUUGAUAGCGUGAGUGCUUCAUUUAUUAAUGAGUGAGACAUCUUACACACGUCUCCUAAUGCUCAGUAAAAGUGUUAAGUUUAUAUACAGGAGGAACAUAUAUGUCUGAGUGUAGACUGCAAACUUUCUUGUUAAAAGCUAAUAUGCCUCUGGCAAAAGAGCUCUGUGCUGCUGCUACCUGCCAGCUGCUACUGGCAUGCUGAGAAAUGAUCAAGCUGCUCAUUUCCUUCCUGUUUGGCAUUUAAGACAUUUCUAGCUUAAUAUACAGAGUUAUUCAGUAUACAGAUGACUUUAUACUAAAGUAGAUGGAUUGUACUACUCUAUUAACUUUACAAACACAAAGCGCACAUAAGCACAAACUCUUCCAGGGUUUAAUUUCUUUCUCAUCCUGUAGCAGCGAAUUGGGGAGCCCUUUGGGGGGGGGGGUUACAACUGCUUUCCUCACAGGGAUAAUCUGUUAGAGGACACAUGCUGGCAUUUGUGCUAGACCAGUGACAAAUCAGGCAGACCCAGAGCUCUUUCUCCUUUUCUGCCACCUCUUUUCACUUACAUCCCCCCCAUUGUACCCCUUUCCUCAUUUUUCUCUUUGACACCCACAUGAAAUUAAGCUGAGGGCUGCAAGUUGCUCACUCCUGCUCUAGCAUGACCAAGAAAUUGAUCUCAGAUCCAGAAGUUGAGCCCCGGGUUGGCUCUUAAUAGCUUGGUCUUAUUUCAUGUCUGUGUGACAAAGUAAGUGGGUUGCAGUCUGGGUCACAGUUCAGUUAGGGUAAAAGUUUCUGUUUGCCACAAGCACUAAGGUCACCAUUAUUUGGGGCAAAGGAUGGGUUUUGCAUUGCAAAAUAUGUGUCUUCCCUCUGCCUCCGUUCCCAUCCAUUAUAAUGAUAGCUGGCUUCAGUGCUACUUAAACAUUAAAGAGCAAACUCACUAGAUCUCUUUAUGCGCCAUAUAUCUUAAGAAAACGAAAGCUUACUAGAAUUAGGCACUUAAUAUGUUUGUAUUUCUGCAUUUCUGCUAGAGCUGGAGACCUUACUUUGGAAGUGUUUUAUUUGCACCUGUUCAAGGUUCUGUUCUGUAAAGGCCAACUGCAGAGAUAUUUGCUUGUUAUAGCAAGCUUUUGUUAGGAACUAAGCAAAAUUAAUACAAAAUGAAUAAAGACACGUGAAACGUAAAGCAGGUCAUGUCAGAAACAUGUUGGUUAUCAAAAAACAGACAUUAAAUCUUACUUUCUUCAUAGCUGUUUUCCUCCGUGAACUGAAUAUCUUUGUUGGAGGUGUACAGUCUGAUUAUAUGUAUAUAUAUUGGGAUUGAAGGGCCAUUGGGUUUAUUGGGACUCAUUCUAUCAGUGAGGGAGAAAUUCAGCUCACAUUUUAAUGCAAACCCACCUAAUUCACACUACAUGAACCAAUACAGGAACUGAAACACAGCUAUCCUUUGAAAUUUUCACUUCUCUGAAUUUUGCAGUGCCAGUCUCCAACAACAAAAUGUGCACAUAAAGGUGCAUAUUAAUAUAUAGUAAAUAUUGCAGGUGCAUGGUUUCUGUUAUUAACACCAUGAUAUAUCGUGAUCAUGGACAGAAAAUUGGUCUAAACUCUGGAAGCCCUGUAUUAGUCUAUUUAGCCUUGAGUGCCAUUGUAUCUCAGCUUUACUUCAAUGGUUAGUACAGUGGGAACCCACUUACUGGGCCUUGCUCUUUUUGAAAGAUCAGCAAGGUAAAAAAAUAAAGUACUUCGAUAAAUGGUAGAAAGUAGUAGCUUGAUAAAACACAGCACAAGCCACGCUGUGAUGGAAAAACCAAGAGUUCACUCCAGUGGUUCUUCAGACUAUUCUGCCUUAAACAUCUAGUAUAACUAUGUUAUUUUUCUCAACACCAGUAUCAAUAUGUUGCUUUUUGUAAGCAUCAUUAAAAAUAAUUUGCAGCUGUAAUAUUACCAUGCUGAAAUGCAUCCUUUGUUAACUAUGACAGCAACAUUGGCUGCUU